rnacentral:rRNA from 1 species
CCUACGGGAGGCAGCAGUGAGGAAUAUUGGUCAAUGGGCGCAGGCCUGACCCAGCCACGUCGCGUGAGGGAAGACUGCCCUCUGGGUUGUAAACCUCUUUUCUAAGGGCGGAAUAAUGACUACGUGUAGUCAGAUGCCCGUCCCUUAUGAAUAUGCAUCCGCUAACUCCGUGCCAGCAGCCGCGGUAAUACGGAGGAUGCGCUCGUUCUCCGGAUUUAUUGGGUUUAAAGGGUGCGUAGGCGGUAUUUUAAGUAAGUGGGAAAACGUCGGGGCUUCACCUUGAUUGGCCAUUAAAACUGGAGUACUAGAGUACAGACGAGGUAGGCGGAAUAAGUGAAGUAGCGGUGAAAUGCUUAGAUAUAACGUAGAACCCCGAUAGCGAAGGCAGCUUACCAGACUGUUACUGACGCUGAAGCACGAGAGCGUGGGUAGCGAACAGGAUUAGAUACCCGGGUAGUC